ACCAGGAUGUUGACGGUCGCUGGCCGCGCGACACUGCGUCAAACUCACAUGUAAACAAGUGCGUGCGUAUUUCUACGAAUAGUGUCUAUUUUGGUUCUUGGAAGCCAGGACAAGUCGCAGUAAGGGACUAUCCGGCUUGUAUGUAGGUAUAUAUAGCCCUCGUGUGGCAUCUUCGCCACAAACCCUGGAAGCAGAAACAAGACUUUCAAAGAUGGCAAAAGUAUCACUUCUCGCCGUUGUAGCUGUGGCCAUGCUGAUGGUGGUGCCCUACGUCCAUGGCGCAGGAGGGAGUUGCUAUGCUCCUCCGUUUUUUUUCGGUUCGACUUGCACAUCAGACACUUCCGUGUUUGGGAGCCCAGGAUGGAAGGUCCGCUACACUGUCACGGUCACCGGCAACGCUGGGACCCUCGUCUGCUGUGAAGCCAGAUACUGUGACACCAGAGGCUGCAGAAUGAGGAGUAUUGGGUGUGGUCACUCCAGCUUCGGCUCUACCGUCCCCUGGGGGAACAACCUCGCUAAUCCGGCUGUCAAGUGCAAGGGAACUCCCACUGGGGCUUUUAUCAGGUUCAGUCACUGAGAUGGGAUGGACUUCCGGUUUCUCGUCCGCGACACACACUGAAAUAGGAUGGACUUCCGGUUUCUCGUCCUCUUCACUCACUAUGGACACGGUUGUUUACAGAGCGGGAAACUCAAAUUUUAAAACUGAAAUAUUUUCAUAAUGUUGUACACCAAAUGUGAUCCAUAUGUUUGCUAUCCAGUCGUAUAUUUUGUCAUAUUUUAUAUCGGUUGUGAUAUUAAAACACGAUAAAGAAAUA